rnacentral:misc_RNA from 1 species
GUAGGUGAACCUGCGGAAGGAUCAUUAACGAAUAAACCUGGUGGAUUGUCGCUGGCUCUCUCGAGAGCAUGUGCACGUCUAUCAUCUUUAUCUUUCCACCUGUGCACAUUUUGUAGAUAUGGAGACCAUUUCUUUCCGAGUUUUGUUACUCGGGUGUGAGGAAUUGUAGGCUUGUAACGAGUCAGCUUUCCUUGGGUAGCCAUGUCUAUGUCUUUCACAUACACCAAUGAAUGUAACAGAAUGUAAUAAAAGGUCUUUGUACCUAUAUAAAACUAUACAACUUUCAGCAACGGAUCUCUUGGCUCUC